GUAGGUAAACUCCAGCGGCUUCAUGUUACCUCCUCACAUCUCUGUCAACAAAACAUUAAAGUAACCAUCCUGUUUCUGGCAGGAAAAAGCCUAGACUGCUGCAGCAUCACAGACCGGGUUUUUAAGCAAAAGGUCAAUGGCUGCAACCUAAAGCAUCAACAAGAAAAGCCUCCAUGCCUGCUGUUCCUAGAGUUAACUGAGCCCAGAAUUGGCGGAAUGGAGUUAGUAGCAGCCACCUCUCCACAAAAAUCAACAUUGACGCUGAAAUACAGCAUCAUCUGAGCUCUGCAAGUGCAGCAUUCUUCCAAAUGAAGUAGAGAGUGUUUGAGGAUCGGGACAUUCGUAGGGAGACCAAGGUGCUUGUUUAUAAAGCUAUUGUUCUCCCAAUCCUGUUAUAUUCCUGUGAAACGUGGACCAUCUAUAGACAUCACACUCAACUCCUGGAAUGAUUCCAUUAGCGUUGCCUCCAAAAAAUCCUGCAAUUCACUUGGGGAGACAGGUGGACAAGCAUCAGCAUGCUAGAAGAAGCAAAGACCACCAACAUUGAAGCAAGGAUCCUCCACCACCAACUCCGCU
rnacentral:lncRNA from 1 species